GACGAACGCUGGCGGCGUGCUUAACACAUGCAAGUCGAACGGAAAGGCCCUGCUUUUGUGGUGUUCUCGAGUGGCGAACGGGUGAGUAACACGUGAGUAACCUUCCCUUGACUUUGGGAUAACUUCAGGAAACUGGGGCUAAUACCGGAUAGGAGCUCCUGCUGCAUGGUGGGGGUUGGAAAGUUUCGGCGGUUGGGGAUGGACUCGCGGCUUAUCAGCUUGUUGGUGGGGUAGUGGCUUACCAAGGCUUUGACGGGUAGCCGGCCUGAGAGGGUGACCGGCCACAUUGGGACUGAGAUAAGGCCCAGACUCCUAAGGGAGGCAGAAGUGGGGAAUAUUGCACAAUGGGCGGAAGCCUGAUGCAGCAACGCCGCGUGCGGGAUGACGGCCUUCGGGGUGUAAACCGCUUUCGCCUGUGACGAAGCGUGAGUGACGGUAAUGGGUAAAGAAGCAACGGCUAAAUACGUG
rnacentral:rRNA from 1 species